AUUGAACGCUGGCGGCAUGCCUAACACAUGCAAGUCGAACGGUAACAGGCCCUUCGGGCGCUGACGAGUGGCGGACGGGUGAGUAAUGCUUAGGAAUCUGCCUAGUAGUGGGGGAUAACCCGGGGAACUCGGGCUAAUACCGCAUACGUCCUACGGGAGAAAGCGGGGGACCGUUCGGGCCUCGCGCUAUUAGAUGAGCCUAAGUCCGAUUAGCUAGUUGGUAGGGUAACGGCCUACCAAGGCGACGAUCGGUAGCUGGUCUGAGAGGACGACCAGCCACACUGGGACUGAGACACGGCCCAGACUCCUACGGGAGGCA
rnacentral:rRNA from 1 species